GAUGAAGAACGUAGCGAAAUGCGAUACUUGGUGUGAAUUGCUGAAUCCCGUGAACCAUCGAGUCUUUGAACGCAAGUUGCGCCCGAAGCCAUUAGGCCGAGGGCACGCCUGCCUGGGCGUCACACGUCGUUGCCCCCCCAUCUACUCCUUCGGGAUUGCGGGGGGCGGAUGAUGGCCUCCCGUGCGCCUCGUCGCACGGUUGGCAUAAAUGCCAAGUCCUCGGCGACGCACGCCACGACAAUCGGUGGUUGCGAAACCUCGGUUGCCCGUCGUGUGCGGUCGUCGCGCAUCGAGGGCUCGAAAAAAUUGCCGGGCUCCGGCUCGGCUUUCAACGCGACCCCAGGUCAGGCGGGGUUACCCGCUGAAUUUAAGCAUAUCAAUAAGCGGAGGA
rnacentral:misc_RNA from 1 species